rnacentral:rRNA from 1 species
CCUACGGGCGGCAGCAGUGGGGAAUAUUGCACAAUGGGCGCAAGCCUGAUGCAGCCAUGCCGCGUGUGUGAAGAAGGCCUUCGGGUUGUAAAGCACUUUCAGCGGGGAGGAAGGCGGUGAGGUUAAUAACCUCAUCGAUUGACGUUACCCGCAGAAGAAGCACCGGCUAACUCCGUGCCAGCAGCCGCGGUAAUACGGAGGGUGCAAGCGUUAAUCGGAAUUACUGGGCGUAAAGCGCACGCAGGCGGUCUGUCAAGUCGGAUGUGAAAUCCCCGGGCUCAACCUGGGAACUGUAUUCGAAACUGGCAGGCUAGAGUCUUGUAGAGGGGGGUAGAAUUCCAGGUGUAGCGGUGAAGUGCGUAGAGAUCUGGAGGAAUACCGGUGGCGAAGGCGGCCCCCUGGACAAAGACUGACGCUCAGGUGCGAAAGCGUGGGGAGCAAACAGGAUUAGAUACCGUGUAGUC